CAGCAGUAGCCGCGGUAAUACGUAGGGUGCAAGCGUUAAUCGGAAUUACUGGGCGUAAAGCGUGCGCAGGCGGUUAUAUAAGACAGAUGUGAAAUCCCCGGGCUCAACCUGGGAACUGCAUUUGUGACUGUAUAGCUAGAGUACGGCAGAGGGGGAUGGAAUUCCGCGUGUAGCAGUGAAAUGCGUAGAUAUGCGGAGGAACACCGAUGGCGAAGGCAAUCCCCUGGGCCUGUACUGACGCUCAUGCACGAAAGCGUGGGGAGCAAACAGGAUUAGAUACCCCAGUAGUCCCUGUCUCUUAUAA
rnacentral:rRNA from 1 species